AUGUAAACAACCAGAUCCUUACAUGCACUGACUUUUGGACUGUGGGACGACCACAGGAUGUUGAAGGGAUGAUCCUAAACAGCUGCCUCAAGGUCAUAGAGAAGCUGGCCAAUGACCAGGGCAUCAAAGUGUUCUCGGCAAACAGCUAUGUCGUUCACACUUGGUUUAUACCUAUGUUGCAGAAUCCUGAACAG